rnacentral:rRNA from 1 species
UACGUAAGGGGCAAGCGUUGUCCGGAUUUAUUGGGCGUAAAGAGCGUGUAGGCGGUUUGGUAGGUCCGCUGUGAAAACUCGAGGCUCAACCUCGAGACGCCGGUGGAAACCAUCAGGCUAGAGUCCGGAAGAGGAGAGUGGAAUUCCUGGUGUAGCGGUGAAAUGCGCAGAUAUCAGGAGGAACACCCAUGGCGAAGGCAGGUCUCGCUGGGACGGUACUGACGCUGAGACGCGAAAGCGUGGGGAGCGAACAGG